rnacentral:miRNA from 11 species
AUCUCAGGUCCGUCAGCCCACG